GACGAACGCUGGCGGCGUGCCUAAUACAUGCAAGUUGAGCGCUGAAGGUUGGUACUUGUACCAACUGGAUGAGCAGCGAACGGGUGAGUAACGCGUGGGGAAUCUGCCUUUGAGCGGGGGACAACAUUUGGAAACGAAUGCUAAUACCGCAUAAAAACUUUAAACACAAGUUUUAAGUUUGAAAGAUGCAAUUGCAUCACUCAAAGAUGAUCCCGCGUUGUAUUAGCUAGUUGGUGAGGUAAAGGCUCACCAAGGCGAUGAUACAUAGCCGACCUGAGAGGGUGAUCGGCCACAUUGGGAAUGAGACAAGGCCCAAACUCCUACGGGAGGCAGCAGUAGGGAAUCUUCGGAAAUGGACGAAAGUCUGACCGAGCAACGCCGCGUGAGUGAAGAAGGUUUUCGGAUCGUAAAACUCUGUUGGUAGAGAAGAACGUUGGUGAGAGUGGAAAGCUCAUCAAGUGACGGUACCUACACAGAAAGGGACGGCUAACUACGUG
rnacentral:rRNA from 1 species